rnacentral:rRNA from 1 species
UACGUAGGGGGCAAGCGUUGUCCGGAUUUAUUGGGCGUAAAGGGCGCGUAGGCGGCCUUCUAAGUCAGACGUGAAAUCCCCCGGCUUAACCUGGGAACUGCGUCUGAUACUGGAGGGCUUGAGUGCGGGAGAGGGAUGUGGAAUUCCAGGUGUAGCGGUGAAAUGCGUAGAUAUCAGGAGGAACACCGGUGGCGAAGGCGCACAUCUGGCCCGAUACUGACGCUGAGGCGCGAAAGCUAGGGGAGCAAACGGG